CCUUGGAAGGAGCACCUAACGUUUUCAUGACUAUCAAAGCAAAGAAAUAACAGAAUCUGAAGAAACGAAUCCCUGACAGUUAGCUCUGCCAGGUGCUUGGUCUGUGAGAUGAGACCACCUGUGAGGCAGCUCUGCCCUGAGGGCGGGCGGUAACCCCGGGGGAUGGGUGGGAGUGUGACCUUGAGAUGAACUCAGGUGCACCGCUCCCACGUGGAAAGGGCGGGAACGAUGAGGAGGGAAAGAAAGCAGUGGAAAGCAAAAACGGCGGGAAACGAGAGCAGCGUUCUGCGCUCCUAUUGGCUGGCGGGGGACGGGGGGGGCCUCACCUAUAUAAGGCGCACAUGAGGGACGGUAGCCGAUAGAUAUUCUUCUUGGGGUGUGAUGGGGAUCGGAACGUGCAGAGAGAAUGGGGUGGCAAGCAGCUGCCUCGAGUGGAGGAGCCGCGGCGGAAGAAAGGAGACAAAGUGGCGUGGGGAACUGGGAGGAAGGAGCGAGCGAGAAGAGGAGCAGGAACCUGCAGAUGGGCAA